rnacentral:rRNA from 1 species
CCGGCGCGGCAAGCGCCAAGGAAAACAAAAAUAGAAUCGUUGCCCCUUUGGCUCCCGUCCGCGGUGUGGCCAUGGGGAUGCAGCGUAUCUUGAAAGUCUAAACGACUCUCGGCAACGGAUAUCUCGGCUCUCGCAUCGAUGAAGAACGUAGCGAAAUGCGAUACUUGGUGUGAAUUGCAGAAUCCCGUGAACCAUCGAGUCUUUGAACGCAAGUUGCGCCCGACGCCUUCGGGCUGAGGGCACGCCUGCCCGGGCGUCACGCAUCGCGUCGUCCCCUCCCAUUCCCUCACGGGUUUGGUUAUGGGACGGAUAAUGGCUUCCCGUUAGCUCGGUUAGCCCAAAAAGGAUCCCUCAUCGACGGAUGUCACAACCAGUGGUGGUUGAAAGAUCAUUGGUGCUGUUGUGCUUCACCCUGUCGCUUGCUAGGGCAUCGUCAUAAACUAACGGCGUGUAAUGCGCCUUCGACCGCGACCCCAGGUCAGACGGGACUACCCGCUGAG